ACGGGUGAGUAAUGUCUGGGGAUCUGCCCGAUAGAGGGGGAUAACCACUGGAAACGGUGGCUAAUACCGCGUAACGUCGCAAGACCAAAGAGGGGGACCUUCGGGCCUCUCACUAUCGGAUGAACCCAGAUGGGAUUAGCUAGUAGGCGGGGUAACGGCCCACUUAGGCGACGAUCCCUAGCUGGUCUGAGAGGAUGACCAGCCACACUGGAACUGAGACACGGUCCAGACUCCUACGGGAGGCAGCAGUGGGGAAUAUUGCACAAUGGGCGCAAGCCUGAUGCAGCCAUGCCGCGUGUAUGAAGAAGGCCUUCGGGUUGUAAAGUACUUUCAGCGGGGAGGAAGGCGAUAAGGUUAAUAACCUUGUCGAUUGACGUUACCCGCAGAAGAAGCACCGGCUAACUCCGUGCCAGCAGCCGCGGUAAUACGGAGGGUGCAAGCGUUAAUCGGAAUUACUGGGCGUAAAGCGCACGCAGGCGGUCUGUUAAGUCAGAUGUGAAAUCCCCGGGCUUAACCUGGGAACUGCAUUUGAAACUGGCAGGCUUGAGUCUCGUAGGGGGGGGUAGAAUUCCAGGUGU
rnacentral:rRNA from 1 species